UAAGUUUUUCCACUAUAACUGUG
rnacentral:miRNA from 1 species